rnacentral:sRNA from 1 species
CAUGGAUGGCAGGGGUGCCCAGCCUGGCCUACUGUGCUCCCCAGGAGGGCAUCUGCCACCGCACCCUGCUGGGGCCGGCCUUUGCGGAGUGCCACGCACUGGUGGACAGCGCCGCGUACCUGGCCGCCUGCACCCAGGACCUGUGCCGCUGCCCCACCUGCCCGUGUGCCACCUUUGUGGAAUACUCACGCCAGUGCGCCCACGCGGGGGGCCAGCCGCGUAACUGGAGGCGCCCUGAGCUCUGCCCCCGGACCUGCCCCCUCAACAUGCAGCACCACGAGUGUGGCUCACCCUGUGAAGACACCUGCUCCAACCCCCAGCGUGCGCAGCUCUGCGAGGACCACUGUGUGGACGGCUGCUUCUGCCCCCCAGGCACGGUGCUGGAUGACGUCACGCACUCUGGCUGCCUGCCCCUCGGGCAGUGCCCCUGCACCCACAGCGGCCGC